rnacentral:rRNA from 1 species
AUUGAACGCUGGCGGCAGGCCUAACACAUGCAAGUCGAGCGAGCGGCGGACGGGUGAGUAAUGUCUGGGUAUCUGCCCGAUAGAGGGGGAUAACUACUGGAAACGGUCGCUAAUACCGCAUACUAUCGGAUGCGCCCAUAUGGGAUUAGCUAGUAGGUGGGGUAAAGGCUCACCUAGGCGACGCUCUCUAGCUGGUCUGAGAGGAUGACCAGCCACACUGGGACUGAGACACGGUCCAGACUCCUACGGGAGGCAGCAGUGGGGAAUAUUGCACAAUGGGCGCAAGCCUGAUGCAGCCAUGCCGCGGGUAUGAAGAAGGCCUUAGGGUUGUAAAGUACUUUCAGCGGGGAGGCGUUACCGACAGAAGAAGCACCGGCUAACUCCGUGCCAGCCGCCGCGGUAAUUC